AGCGGCGGACGGGUGAGUAACGCGUGGGUAACCUGCCCUGUACACACGGAUAACAUACCGAAAGAUAUGCUAAUACGAGAUAAAAUACUUUUAUCGCAUGGUAGAAGUAUCAAAGCUUUUGCGGUACAGGAUGGACCCGCGUCUGAUUAGCUAGUUGGUAAGGUAACGGCUUACCAAGGCGACGAUCAGUAGCCGACCUGAGAGGGUGAUCGGCCACAUUGGAACUGAGACACGGUCCAAACUCCUACGGAAGGCAGCAG
rnacentral:rRNA from 1 species